rnacentral:lncRNA from 1 species
UGUUGUAAUCCUCUCACCCUUAAAAUGAAAAAGUCCUGGAGGGUUGUCCUUCUUGGCAGCUUUGGAGCCUGAAUCCAGGCACAGCCAGAAUUGCAAGAACGAGGAUUUCAGAGAUCAGAAAGAGCAGAGGAAACCAACCACCGUGCUGCUGCAAACUCCUGGGAGCUGCAAAAUGAAAAAGAAGAGCGUGCAGGGCGCAUUCAGCUUCCCUGAGUUAAUGGAUUAUUGAUUAAUGUUCGGAAAAUCACACAAAGAGGUUUGCUGUGUUGUCCAUGAUGUGAACUUCUUUUGCUCCUUCUCAGUGGAUGCUGUAAGAGCAUUUGGAACAGAUUCCUUGAGCACCCAAGAAGAGUCACCAGUGAUGUUUAUCCAUUCUCCAGAUGAAGAUGAAGCAGGAGGCAAUUACAGCCAGUACUUUUUUAGAGCUCUUAAACACACCCAACAGCUAUUUGGUGCUUCCUUUUAGAGAGACAACUUUUCCAUAUGCCACAGAUUUUCCACAGGACAAUCCUGGUUGUGCUAUCAGACUAGCACAAGAGACUUUCCACUCAUGUGCAUUCUCCACUCAGGAAACUAUUGCCAACUCUUAUGUGAAUAAGGAAAAGAAAGCAGGGCUGGCUCAGUUUCUCCCACUAGCAUGAUCCAGAGGAGCUCUUCCUUUAGACACGUAAGCAACAACCUCCAGUCCAUGGCCAACUCACUUUCUACUCAACUUUGGAGAUAGAUAUGAAAAUGUAUAAAUCCAGCAUACUUAACUUUGGUAAUAAAAAUUAAACAAAACAGUUUACUUUUGUAAGAAUAAAGAAAAGUCCACACC